GAUGAACGCUGGCGGCGUGCCUAAUACAUGCAAGUCGAGCGAACGGACGAGAAGCUUGCUUCUCUGAUGUUAGCGGCGGACGGGUGAGUAACACGUGGAUAACCUACCUAUAAGACUGGGAUAACUUCGGGAAACCGGAGCUAAUACCGGAUAAUAUUUUGAACCGCAUGGUUCAAAAGUGAAAGACGGUCUUGCUGUCACUUAUAGAUGGAUCCGCGCUGCAUUAGCUAGUUGGUAAGGUAACGGCUUACCAAGGCAACGAUGCAUAGCCGACCUGAGAGGGUGAUCAGACACACGGGAACAGAGAGAGGGUCCCGACUCCUAAGGGAGGCAGCAGUAGGGAAUCUUCCGCAAUGGGCGAAAGCGUGACGGAGCAACGCCGCGUGAGGGAUGAAGGUCUUCGGAUCGUAAAACUCUGUAAUUAGGGAAGAACAUAUGUGUAAGUAACUGUGCACAUCUUGACGGUACCUAAUCAGAAAGCCACGGCUAACUACGUG
rnacentral:rRNA from 1 species